UACAGAGGAUGCAAGCGUUAUCCGGAAUGAUUGGGCGUAAAGCGUCUGUAGGUGGCUUUUUAAGUCCGCCGUCAAAUCCCAGGGCUCAACUCUGGACAGGCGGUGGAAACUACCAAGCUGGAGUACGGUAGGGGCAGAGGGAAUUUCCGGUGGAGCGGUGAAAUGCGUAGAGAUCGGAAAGAACACCAACGGCGAAGGCGGCUUCCUGGACCAAUACUGACGCUGAGGUGCGAAAGCGUGGGGAGCAAACAGG
rnacentral:rRNA from 1 species